rnacentral:rRNA from 1 species
UACGUAGGGGGCAAGCGUUAUCCGGAUUCACUGGGUGUAAAGGGAGCGUAGGCGGCCAUGCAAGCCUGGAGUGAAAGCCCGGGGCCCAACCCCGGGACUGCUCUGGGAACUGUGCGGCUGGAGUGCGGGAGGGGCAGGCGGAAUUCCUGGUGUAGCGGUGAAAUGCGUAGAUAUCAGGAGGAACACCGGCGGCGAAGGCGGCCUGCUGGACCGCGACUGACGUUGAGGCUCGAAAGCGUGGGGAGCAAACAGG